rnacentral:rRNA from 1 species
ACAUGCAUAUAGAAUAAUGCUAAUGCAUCGGAUCCCAUUAGAACUUCGUAUUUAAUCGCGCUUAGGAUAGAGUAGUACUGGGAUGGGUGACCACACGGGAAGUCUUAGUGUUUUACAUGCC